rnacentral:rRNA from 1 species
UACGGAGGGAGCUAGCGUUGUUCGGAAUUACUGGGCGUAAAGCGCGCGUAGGCGGUUAUUCAAGUCAGAGGUGAAAGCCCGGAGCUCAACUCCGGAACUGCCUUUGAAACUAGAUAACUAGAAUCUUGGAGAGGUCAGUGGAAUUCCGAGUGUAGAGGUGAAAUUCGUAGAUAUUCGGAAGAACACCAGUGGCGAAGGCGACUGACUGGACAAGUAUUGACGCUGAGGUGCGAAAGCGUGGGGAGCAAACAGG